rnacentral:rRNA from 2 species
CCUACGGGUGGCAGCAGUGGGGAAUUUUGGACAAUGGGCGCAAGCCUGAUCCAGCCAUGCCGCGUGUCUGAAGAAGGCCUUCGGGUUGUAAAGGACUUUUGUUAGGGAAGAAAAGGAUAGUGUUAAUACCAUUAUCUGCUGACGGUACCUAAAGAAUAAGCACCGGCUAACUACGUGCCAGCAGCCGCGGUAAUACGUAGGGUGCGAGCGUUAAUCGGAAUUACUGGGCGUAAAGCGAGCGCAGACGGUUUAUUAAGCAAGAUGUGAAAUCCCCGAGCUUAACUUGGGAACUGCGUUUUGAACUGGUAAGCUAGAGUAUGUCAGAGGGGGGUAGAAUUCCACGUGUAGCAGUGAAAUGCGUAGAGAUGUGGAGGAAUACCGAUGGCGAAGGCAGCCCCCUGGGAUAAUACUGACGUUCAUGCUCGAAAGCGUGGGUAGCAAACAGGAUUAGAUACCCCAGUAGUC